GUAAGAGAAAGGGAAGGACGGCUUCCUUAUGUAGUAGCCCCUCUUCAUCUUUAUUUACAGAACUUUCUUCAGGAUCCCUUUCAGGAUUGCUGGGAAGAUAGAAUAGACAUCGGUGAGGAGUUUUGCAUGCACCCGGCACCCAAUGAGUACUCCAUAAAUGGCCUUGUUGCUGCUAUAGAAGGUGCUGGAGGUUGAAAGGUUCACAGAUCCCUGCUGUACAGUUACCUUUCUUUGACCUUCUGAUAAACUCCAGGAAAUGGUUUUGUCGGGUCAGAAGAUGCACAUUUUUAAAAGGUUUUGCUGCAAUUGGAAAAUUGUCUUCCAGUUUGCAGGUGCAGUUUCCAGUCACCCAGCAUAUAAAAGGGCUUGUUCUCCUGCCUCCAACCUGCAGCCAGGGGUCCUGGGAUUCUGCAUCCCCUGGGCCACUCUGCUCUUUAAUACUGAAGUGAAAAUCACCUAAGCGUCAGCCCGGGAGACCACGCCUUCCAAGGCUCACUUUGCCAGUGACUUCCAAGCCAUGCUUUCUGUUUCCUGCUCUGACCUGGUUGCCACUCGUCACCUCGGCCACCUCCCUUCCUCUGGACCACUGCCCUUCUCCCCAGAAAUGGGUAACCUCCUGCCAUCUGGUGACAUCUCCAGGCUUCAGCUCCCAGGAUGGCUUCUCUGGGCUCAGCACCCUCCCUGAAUUCCCUAAAACACAGCUACCAUCAACCUGACAAAACCUGGCUGCAGGUUUGGGGAGAACAAAAGGCAGAUUUAAAUCGGAGAUCAAGGACUUCCCUGGUGUUACAGUGGUUAAGACUCCGUGCUGCCAAUGCAGGGGGGCCUGGGUUCGAUCCCUGGUCAGGGAACUAGAUCCCACAUGCCGUAACUAAGAGUCCACAGGCCGCAACUAAAGACCCAGCACAGCCAAAUAAAUAAAUAAAUAUUUAAAAAUUAAAAAUAAACUGGAAGUCUGGGAUUCUUCACGGGGGCCACAUGCCUGCUUUCUUCUUAGCCCCCACUGGCCUCUGUGCAGGGGCUCAGUGCCCUUGACUGGGUCCCUGUUGCCCAGCAUGUAGACCUCCCCAUCCCCCCACCCCAGGGGAGAAGAAAUCCUGGCCUCCCGUCUAAAGCUUGCUUCACCUCCUUCUCCUACACCCUCCUGCACAGAGCAGUCCAAAAUCGAGAUUAAGGGGGGAAAAAAAGUUCUUUAACUAGCUGACCCAGUUUAUAUAACUGAAUAGAAUACUUAACAUCUUAGUCUAAAGCAGCUGUCUUUGGGCGUCCCCAAGAACAGCAGGAAGCUCUUACUUCACAGCUGCCUGACCAAGAGGGCUCAAGAAAGUGGUCUUUCCAAAACAACCCAGG